UUCAGCCUUGAGAGAGCAGCGUGAUGGGCACUGUAGAAGAAUGUGAGGUGACUGAUAUAUAGUUGGAAACCUACGGUGAUGGAUGAUAGAAAAAGAGAGAGGGGAACAUUUGGUGGUUGAUUGAUAGCAGCACCACAGCUGAAGUAUCCACAAUUAAUGAUGGCCAGCUGCGGAGGAGCAUGGGGCGACCGGGGCGGAGGAGCCCUCUGCGCCUCUCCUGAGCAUCUGCUGCCACCGACCUGCCUUGGGAUCCUCACCUGGAUCUCAGCUGGGAUGCCUGAAUUUAUGAGAAGGGGCAAACAGAGCAGAACAGCUCACAGUCAUCUGAUGGAAAGAAAAAGGGCAGGAGGUAAAAGCCGAGGUCCUGGGGGGGUACAGUGAAGUGCUUGGAAAUGCCUGGGGCGAAAGGAAAAGGAAGAUGUGAACGCCGGCAUCCUCACGCUGUUCUGUUCCUUCCGUUUGUGCCAAAUCCCACUUUGAAAAUUUGUUUUGGUUGUGUUCAUGUAACGUUAAAAUUAGAUUAGUCAUUUCAAAAUCUGAUGUGUGCUUGCUGUCUACAUUUUCAAAGGAAAUUAGUAACUGCAAUGGAAUUAUUCUGGAUUUAGGAGCGUGUAAAUGAAAGUGGAUUAGCUCUCUUUGCCUCAGUGUACCUAUUUGUGAUAUAAUGGUAAGUAAAUACUUUAAUGCUA